rnacentral:rRNA from 1 species
UAUUGCACAAUGGGCGAAAGCCUGAUGCAGCCAUGCCGCGUGUAUGAAGAAGGCCUUCGGGUUGUAAAGUACUUUCAGUUGUGAGGAAGGGGGUGUCGUUAAUAGCGGCAUYUCUUGACGUUAGCAACAGAAGAAGCACCGGCUAACUCCGUGCCAGCAGCCGCGGUAAUACGGAGGGUGCGAGCGUUAAUCGGAAUUACUGGGCGUAAAGCGCAUGCAGGUGGUUCAUUAAGUCAGAUGUGAAAGCCCGGGGCUCAACCUYGGAACUGCAUUUGAAACUGGUGAACUAGAGUACUGUAGAGGGGGGUAGAAUUUCAGGUGUAGCGGUGAAAUGCGUAGAGAUCUGAAGGAAUACCAGUGGCGAAGGCGGCCCCCUGGACAGAUACUGACACUYAGAUGCGAAAGCGUGGGGAGCAAACAGGAUUAGAUACCCUGGUAGUCCACGCCGUAAACGAUGUCUACUUGGAGGUUGUGGCCUUGAGCCGUGGCUUUYGGAGCUAACGCGUUAAGUAGACCGCCUGGGGAGUACGGUCGCAAGAUUAAAACUCAAAUGAAUUGACGGGGGCCCGCACAAGCGGUGGAGCAUGUGGUUUAAUUYGAUGCAACGCGAAGAACCUUACCUACUCUUGACAUCCAGAGAAGCCAGCGG